GACGAACGCUGGCGGCAUGCUUAACACAUGCAAGUCGAACGGAAAGGCCCUGCUUUUGUGGGGUGCUCGAGUGGCGAACGGGUGAGUAACACGUAAGUAACCUGCCCUUGACUUUGGGAUAACUUCAGGAAACUGGGGCUAAUACCGGAUAGGAGCUACUGCUGCAUGGUGGGGGUUGGAAAGUUUCGGCGGUUGGGGAUGGACUCGCGGCUUAUCAGCUUGUUGGUGGGGUAGUGGCUUACCAAGGCUUUGACGGGUAGCCGGCCUGAGAGGGUGACCGGCCACAUUGGGACUGAGAUACGGCCCAGACUCCUACGGGAGGCAGCAGUGGGGAAUAUUACACAAUGGGCGGAAGCCUGAUGCAGCAACGCCGCGUGCGGGAUGACGGCCUUCGGGUUGUAAACCGCUUUCGCCUGUGACGAAGCGUGAGUGACGGUAAUGGGUAAAGAAGCACCGGCUAACUACGUG
rnacentral:rRNA from 1 species